CCUACGGGGGGCAGCAGUAAGGAAUAUUGGUCAAUGGGCGGAAGCCUGAACCAGCCAUGCCGCGUGCAGGAAGACUGCCCUAUGGGUUGUAAACUGCUUUUGUCCAGGAAUAAACCUAAAUACGAGCAUUUAGCUGAAUGUACUGGAAGAAUAAGGAUCGGCUAACUCCGUGCCAGCAGCCGCGGUAAUACGGAGGAUCCGAGCGUUAUCCGGAUUUAUUGGGUUUAAAGGGUGCGUAGGCGGCCUAUUAAGUCAGGGGUGAAAUACGGUGGCUCAACCAUCGCAGUGCCUUUGAUACUGAUGGGCUUGAAUCCAUUUGAAGUGGGCGGAAUAAGACAAGUAGCGGUGAAAUGCAUAGAUAUGUCUUAGAACUCCGAUUGCGAAGGCAGCUCACUAAGCUGGUAUUGACGCUGAUGCACGAAAGCGUGGGGAUCGAACAGGAUUAGAUACCCUUGUAGUC
rnacentral:rRNA from 1 species